UUCCCCCCUGCGGGCGUCGAUAAUCCCCAGCCUGAUGCCAGGGUCCGGCCCCGUCCAGAACUUCCUCCCAAGUCCACUUCUCCCGCCAGUCCAACUCGAACUCCGUCUGCUCCUUCCUCUGCUGCUUGGUCCUUUGGUGGUGGGUGAUUCUGUCACGGUUGUUGUCGGUGAAUGAGGACCAAUACGCAGCAGCCAAUUGUGCGCCGCCCAUGGGUCUCCCGGUCGCGACCGGCUGUGACAGAGCCUGGACACAAACCCAGAAUCUAUAGUGGCACAGCUAGCACUGCCUUAGACCACUGCUUUUCUGAUGGCUGUGGCCAUCAGAAAAUAACUCACCCUGGAAAUCCUUGAGGUCACGUACUGGUCGGAUUCUACAACAGUCUUAACCUGGCUCCAGUCAGACUCCUGCAGGUACAAAGUAUUUGUAGGCACAAGAGUCACAGAAAUACAGGAGCUCACGGACCCCCAGGCCUGGCGUUACAUGGACACGGAUAGAAAUCCGGCUGACGAUAUCACAAGCGACAAGAUGCUGUCUCAGCUUUCAGAACACAACCGUUGGAGUCAAGUUCCUCCUUUCCUGUGGCAGGCCCAGUCAUCCUGGCCGAGAAGCCUAGACCAUGUACCUCCUGAUGAAACAGAGGAGCUGCGGAAGCCUACCUUCUGUGGACUCCUGUCAGUGGACACCAAGUCGUUUCUUCCUGAUGUUGCCCAGUUCAACACUUUUCAUCCCCUCAGCCGACGAUUUCAAACAAGCAGAACUCAAAAUACUCAGACAUGCUCAGUCUGAGAGCUUCCCAGAAGACCUCUCCCUACUAGAGGCAGGCAAGCCAAUCCCUCUGAGCAGCCGUCUGGUGACGCUGGCCCCAGAGUAUGACAAUGACACCGGACUGAUUCGUGUUGGAGGUCGCCUUCGGAAGUGUGACCAGCUGUGCCUUGAUGCUCUUCACCCAGUGGUUCUGGACCCAGGUCAUCCGCUCACCAGGUUGCUGAUCAAGAAAUAUGAUGAGCAGCUGAGGCACCCGGGCCCAGAGAGGGUUUUUGCUGAGUUACGUCGAAGGUUCUGGAUACUGAGAGGGAGGGCAGCCAUUCGCCGUUUUCAGAUUGGCUGCACCGAAUGCAGGAAGUGGUGAGGCCAGCCUAGGAUGGCUGACCUGCCUCCAGUCCGACUGCGGCUCCACAAGCCCACAUUUUAUUCUACAGGCAUGGACUGCUUUAGACUGUAUAUCAUCAAGAUUGGCCGAAAAAAAUUAAAGAGAUGGGGCUUCAUCUUUAAGUGCUUGACCGCCCGGGCUGUACAAGUGGAUCUACUGACAAACAUGGAUUCCGAUUCGUUCCUAAUGGUGUUGAGACGUUUUGUCGCUCGAAGAGGAAAGCCCUUUGAGAUCCAGCCCGGUCGAGGAACACAUUUCAAGGGAGGGGAGCGAGAGCUACAGGAGGCCUUCAUGACUCUCCACCCACAGCUCCAGGAACAUUUAGCCAGUCAGAAGAUUUGCUUUGCCUUCAACCCACCAAGUGCACAACACUUUGGAGGAUGUUGGGAGAGGGAGAUUAGAUCCAUCAAGACUGCCCUGCAAACCGCCCUUGGUGCGCAGACCAUCUCUGAAGAGGUGCUGAGGACUGUCCAAAUCGAAAUAGAAGGAUCUUGAACUCCAAGCCUUUGGGAUAUGUGUAGCCAGACAUCGCGGAUCCGGAUCCAAUCACUCCUAACUCUCUUCUCAUGGUGCGGCCAGACUCGUCAGUACCACAGGUGGCCUACCCAGAGACUGAACUGCUUAGUCACAAAAAAUGGAGACACAGUUAGGUUCUAGCCAACCAUUUUUGGCACUGCUUUACAUGGAACUACUUACCUGCACUUCAUGGCCGCCAUAGGUGGCACAAGGAUAAGGAAGACCUUUUAGUUGGGACUGUUGUGAUGAUCGUGGAUGAUCAGUCUCCUAGGGCACUCUGGCAAGUUGGAACUGUCAAGUCAGUUAUCCCUGGAGCAGACGGUAAAGUGAGGACAGCAGAGAUCCAAGUCAAGGACAAACCUAUGUCAGGCCUGUUGCUCAACUCAUCCAGCUGCUUCUUCAAGAAGCUACUGACCCUUAGCUGGCUUGUCAGUUGAAGCAAAUAUGUACAACAUAUUUGGGGGCGGCUGUAAAAACAGCCAGCUCAUCUCCUUUCCAAGACCGCAACUUUAUUUUGGUUUUCCUUUAUUUUGGUUUUCCUUUAUUUUGGUUUUCCCGGGGUUACUUAGCGUAAUACUCGACCAGGCAGGUCCUCAGGCAGUCUGUAGUUUCCAUUCUGAUGACCAAACUGUUUUUCUCUCCAGCUUAUUCUACCUCAUUAGAAGAAAUUGCUAUUCUUUAUUGUGCUUACAGCUAAAUGUAAGUGCCAAAAUCCUGAUGUCUUGUUGUUUGGAGCUAAAUAGUGACUGUUGUAAAUAGGUACCAUUUGUGUUAAACUUGCUAGCUACCUAGCUUGUGUACUCCCGCUAGCAUUAGCAUUGUCAUCCAGAAUGCAUUACUAUUUCACAUGCUAAAUAGCGAUUAGCAUUUGUUAUCAUUUGUCUGUGGUGCUAGCAAAUUUUUGGUUGUAGAUCACUCAUGCUUAUUAUGUUUUAUACUGUGUAGAUAUUUCUACAUUGCUCUAUUGUUCUUCGUGCAUCUAGCAUGUGUUUUGGUCCACAUAGCCUGUUUAGUUGUUGACAUGCAAAUAGGCAUAUAUUUUCCCAACUGUGCCAUAGCCUAAGUUCUCCUCUUUUCUUUACAGAACCACAAUUAGUAUCAGAGAGAGUGGUGUUGCAUGUGUGUGUGUGGAUCUUCAUUAAACCCUUGAACUGGAACUACUGCUUCCUCGUGUUAUGAACGGACGCCCCGUGGUGGUUACUACCGGCCUAAAAUCCAGCACCUACAUUUUUUAUCCCUUUUUAUUGGUCCUUCGAAUUCAUAAACAACCCAUAUUUUUCAGUUUGUGUCGGCGUUACCCUCCCCUGUAAAGUUCACAUUGUUUGGCACCUCACCUCUCCUCCCUCAUUCAGAGAAUAUGAGACAAUGGCCUUGGAGACUGAGGAGUACAUACUUUUCACCAUCCAUGGCAAGCAUCCUCCUCAGCUACAAUUAAACAAAUCUAAAAACCAAAAGAAAAUGAUAGAAAUCCAUUGUGUGGCUGGUCUGUGUACAAACACUAGAGGGAUUUAAUUGUUUUCUAUUUGCACCUGUCUAUUUUCAAUGUGAAUAAGAGGAAUAUGU
rnacentral:lncRNA from 1 species